rnacentral:rRNA from 1 species
AUGGCCUCACGCUUCAGCUUCGGCAUCUCCUCUGGGGACCUGAGGUCGGGGAGCUCGCUGACGGUGGGGGAGCGGCUCUGCGCGGUGGUCCUGCCCUGCGUCGCCAUCGCCGAGUUCGUCUUCUUCGCGCUCACCGACUGCCUGGGCGGCAUCUGUCCCCCUUCCUCGAACUCCUCCACCCACCUGCGCAGAGAUCCCUCCGCUCCGUCCUUCUUCCUCACCGCCAAGAAGGGGAGCCACCACCGCCGCCGCGGUCGCGUCGGGCCGGGCUGCACCUCCCUGGUCUUCCGCGACCUCGCACGCCUCGCCGACGAGUCCAGAUGCUUCUCGGUGAACGAGGUGGAGGCGCUGUUCGAGCUCUACAAGAAGAUCAGCUGCUCCAUCAUCGACGACGGACUCAUCCACAAGGAAGAACUUCAGCUAGCAUUAUUCAAGACUCCUAGUGGACAGAAUCUUUUUCUUGAUAGGGUUUUUGAUUUGUUUGAUGAGAAGAAAAAUGGAGUAAUCGAGUUUGAGGAGUUUAUUCAUGCUCUCAGCGUCUUCCAUCCAUUGGCACCUGUGGAAGACAAGAUCAACUUUGCAUUUAGGCUCUAUGAUUUGAGACAGACUGGCUUUAUUGAGCGCGAGGAGGUUAUGCAAAUGGUUAUCGCCAUUUUGAUGGAAUCUGAUGUGGAAUUAUCGGAUGAACUUCUUGAGGCUAUCCUAGACAAGACAUUUGAAGAUGCUGACACCGAUAGGGAUGGGAAAAUUUGCCAAGAAGAAUGGAAGGAAUUUGUAUUACGCCAUCCUAAUCUACUGAAGAACAUGACCCUACCAUAUCUAAGAGACGUCACAACAGCGUUCCCAAGUUUUGUUUUCAAUACCGCGGUUGAAGACUAA